rnacentral:misc_RNA from 1 species
GAUGAAGAACGUAGCGAAAUGCGAUAAGUAAUGUGAAUUGCAGAAUUCAGUGAAUCAUCGAAUCUUUGAACGCACAUUGCGCCCCUUGGUAUUCCGAGGGGCAUGCCUGUUCGAGCGUCAUUACACCACUCAAGCUAUGCUUGGUAUUGGGCGUCGUCCUUAGUUGGGCGCGCCUUAAAGACCUCGGCGAGGCCACUCCGGCUUUAGGCGUAGUAGAAUUUAUUCGAACGUCUGUCAAAGGAGAGGAACUCUGCCGACUGAAACCUUUAUUUUUCUAGGUUGACCUCGGAUCAGGUAGGGAUACCCGCUGAACUUAAGCAUAUCAAUAAGCUGAGGA